rnacentral:rRNA from 1 species
AGCGAACGCUGGCGGCAGGCCUAACACAUGCAAGUCGAACGAACUCUUCGGAGUUAGUGGCGGACGGGUGAGUAACACGUGGGAACGUGCCUUUAGGUUCGGAAUAACUCAGGGAAACUUGUGCUAAUACCGAAUGUGCCCUUCGGGGGAAAGAUUUAUCGCCUUUAGAGCGGCCCGCGUCUGAUUAGCUAGUUGGUGAGGUAAAGGCUCACCAAGGCUACGAUCAGUAGCUGGUCUGAGAGGAGGACCAGCCACAUUGGGACUGAGACACGGCCCAAACUCCUACGGGAGGCAGCAGUGGGGAAUCUUGCGCAAUGGGCGAAAGCCUGACGCAGCCAUGCCGCGUGAAUGAUGAAGGUCUUAGGAUUGUAAAGUUCUUUAGCCUGUGACGAUGAUGACGGUAACAGGAGAAUAAGCCCCGGCUAACUUCGUGCCAGCAGCCGCAGUAACAC